rnacentral:tRNA from 1 species
AGAGAUAUAACUCAGUUGGUAGAGUACCGUGCUUAUAUCACGGGAGUCUUGGGUUCGAGUCCCAAUGUCUCAA